AUGCCCUUUUCGCGUGCGACACAGGCAUAUGGGGAACACGGCUCCAAGGACAAUGUCCAAGGCACGACAGCGCAGAUGCACCCGCAGCUUCUUCACCAACAGAGCUUCAGUCCUGGUAAUGUGAACGACAGGGAUUCAGAGGAAUCCUUUCUGCUUCCAGCCCCAGUAACAAUACCCGUACUACAAUCGGUACUUCGCCGUGUAAGCAGCAUGACCCCUAGUGGGUACCAGUGGCUGUCUGGAGGGGAAGAUCAUGGGCAAGUUCAAAGUCACGGGCACAGACGGGAGUUCCCAUCAACUUGCAGGAGGGAAGGAUGGAUCACAAGAGGAUGGACCCUCGCUGGCAUGGGCUGAAGCUACAUCCACAAGCAGAAUUUCUCUGUAAGAGUGUGGUAAGCAGAAUUCUAAGAAUGAUUUUACCCUCAGACAAUCACUUCCCUUUUGAGGGUGCGGGGAAUCUGUGAAUGUGAAAAGAUAUCACUACUAUGACGAUGCUAUGUUAUCAUCUACGGCAAAGGGGAGGUUGUCUGGAUGGCCCUGCUCUAGUCACAUGAGACCUUUAAAAGCAGAGUUUUCUCCAGCUGGGUGAAAGAUGAGGAAGGAAGAGAUUUGAAGCCCAAGAGUGAUUGCUGGUUUUGAAAAUGGGGCCGGCGGGGUGGGGGGGUGGGGGGGCACAUGCCACAGAAUAUGUGUGUCCUCUAGGAACUGAGAAACGCUCUCAUGCAACAGCCAGAGAGAAAGUGAAGCCCCCCAUUUUAUAGCCACACGGAUCUGAAUCUGAAGACUCUACCCCACAGCCUCCAGAUGAAAGCUCAACCAGAUAACACCUUGACGUCAGCCUUGUGAGGCCCUGAGCAGAAAAUCCAGUCGAACUUGCCUGUACUUCUACCUAAAGAGCUGCGAGGUAAUCAAUGGGUGUGUUUUAAGCUGCAAAGUUGGGAUAAUUUGUUUGGCAGCCUUAUGCAAUGAACAUUUGUGUCCCCUCAAAACUCAUAUGCCGAAGCCCUAACCCCCAAUGUGGCUGUAUUUGGAGCACAAGAAUAAUUAAAGUUAAAUGAGGUCAUAAGGUUCAAUAAGAUCAAUGUCCUUAGAAGAUAAACACCAGAGAGCAAGCGUGCUCCCCCCUCCCCUCCCCCUUCCUCUCUCUCCCUCUCUCUUUCUCUGUGUGUGUGUGUGUGUAUGUGUGUGUAUACACAUAGAUAUAUGUACAUACAUACAUACAUACAUAAAUGGCAGGAGCAGACAUCCUGGUCUUCAGUCUUUCAUUACUAAAUAUGAUGAUACUUGUAAGUUUUUCAGAUAUUCUUUAUCCGACUGAGGAAGUUCUUUUCCAUUCCUAGUUGUUGAGUCUUUUUAUCAUGAAGAGGUGUCGAAUUUUAUCAAAUUAUUUUUCUGGGGAAUCCCUGGGUGGCUCAGCAGUUGAGCACCUACCUUUGGCCUAGGGCAUGAUCCUGGGGUCCUGGGAUCAAUUCCCACAUCGGGCUCUCUGCAUGGAGCCUGCUUCUGUCUCUGCUGUGUCUCUGCCUCUCUCUCUCUCCCUCUCUCUCUCUCUGUCUCUCAUGAAUAAAUAAAUAAAAUCUUUUUAAAAAAUUAUUUUUCUGCACCUAAUAAGAUAAUCGUGUGGGUUUUUCCCUUUAUUCUAUUUAUAUAGUGUAUUACAUUAAUUGAUUUUCAGAUGGUCAACUGAUCUUCCUUGCCCAGAAUUGAUCCCACUUGGUCAUUGUAUAUGAUCCUUUUUUUAUACUUCAGAAUUUGGGUUGCUAGUAUUUUAAGAUUUUUUUGUGCUUGUAUUCAAUAAAGAUACUCAUUGCUAGUGUUUUCUUUUCUUAUGAUAUCUCUGUUUGGUUUUUAAUCAGGGUUUCUGCUUGGAAAUUUGGGGGAAAUUUUUACCACAGUUCAAUCUGCCACACAGUUCAUUCCUUGCCAUAGUUGUAUUCAGAUUAUGUAUUUAUUUCUCGAAUUGGUUUCAGUAGUGUACAUCUUUCCAGGAAUAUGUACAUUUCACCUAUGUUACCUAAUUUAUCGACCUACAGUUGUUCAUAGCAUUCCUUUAUAAUCCUUUCUUAUUUCUUUAAAGGUGAGGUGAUGUCCCCUCUUUCAUUCUAGAUUUAAUCAUUUGAGUCCUUGGUCGCUCCAGCCAGAGCUUUACCAAUUUUGUCGAUAUUCUCAAAGAAAACCAACUUUUGGUUACAUUGAUUGUCUCUAUUGACUUUCUAUUCUCUAUUUCAUUUAUCUCUGCUCUAGUCUUCAUUUUUUCCUUCUGCUAGCUUUGGAUUAGUUUGCUUUUCUUUUUAUUCUCCUUCAGGUAUAAACUUAGGCUAUUGAUUUGCGAUCUUCUGUAAUGUAGGCAUUUAAGACUAUAAAUUCCCAAUUUCCCUUGAAGCACUAUUUCAGUUGCAUCUUGUAAGUUUUGGUAUUUUGUGUUUUCAUUCUUCUCAAAGUAUUUUCUAAUUUCCACUUGUUUAGGAGUGUGUUGUUUAAUUUCCGUGUUUGUGAAUUCUCAAUUUUUCUUUCAAUUUUUUUUCUGUUAUUGAUUUCUAGUUUCAUUCCAUUCCAUUAGGUUCAGAAAAUAUACUCUCUAUGAUUUAAAGUUGUUGUAAUUUGUUUAAGGCUUAGCAUAUCGUCUAUUUAAAAAUUAUUCCAUGUGCACCUGAGAAAAAUGGGAAUCCUGCUAUUGUUGGGCAGAGUAGUCUAUAGAUGUCUGUUAGGGGCAGUUGCCUUAUGGUUUUGUUCAAGCUUCCAUUUCAUUACUGAUCUUCUGCUUGCCAUUCUGCCCACUACUGGAAGUGGGGAGUUGAAGUCUCUAUUAUUUUUGAAUUGUCAGUUCUCCCUUUGGUUCUGUCAGAUUUAGCUUUGCACAUUUUGUGUAUAUACAAACACACACAUACAAAUACAGAUAUAUAAAUAUAUAUACGGGUAUAUAUAUAUUUGCUAAGACCUUGUCAUCAUACCUUCCAUUACAUCUUUAAGUGCUGUUUCCUUUAGUUCCUUAAACAAAUUUAUAAUAGUUGAUUCAAAGUCUUUGCUAAGACCAACAUCUGGGUCCUCUCAAAGGCUACUUCUGUUACCUGCUCUUUUUCUUUCAUACUAAUCACAUUUUCCUGCUUCUUUGCAUGUUCAUGAUUUUUUUGUUGAAAACUGGACAUUUUGGAUAAUAGACCAUAGCAUCUCUGCAUUUUGAUUUCCCACCAGCACCUCUCUGGGUCUGUCUUGUUUUUACUACUGUUUAUGUGUUUAUUUAUUUAGUGAUCUGACUAGACCAUUUCUGUGAGGUUUAUUUCCCCCACGGAGCACGGCCUCUGAUAAAACUUCUCAGAAGGCACACUCUUAGAGACACUCACAGUCACCCUGAAGUGACAGUUGUUUUAUCAGCACUCUCUUUGGUUGUGUCAUUCCUUGAUCUCUUGUUAGCUUUUUAGCUUCCUGUUCAUCCUGCCUCUACUGCUCACACUCAGCUAUUAGCCACCACAAACUGGUGUCUGAGGUCCAUAUUGUUCUUCACAAUGCCUGUUGCUGCAAAGUGUUCCCCAAUCCAAUCCAAUUAAAUCAGACCUCUUUGCAGAGACAGUCUUUGAGGCCAGUCUGAAGAUUGUUCCAGUCCCAGAAGAGUUCUUCCUAGCUGUCCUUUUCUCCAAAUCUUUCACAGUUCUACUUCUAGCUGUCCUUCAGUUUAGCUUACUGCUGUUGUGGAGUUAUUAACCUCCUCAUAAUUGUUUGCUACCAGAACUUCCAUUCCUUUUGAUAGCACCCUUACAUGAAUUUGACCACACUCUGUCCCAAAUAAGACUUAUGUCCUUAGGAAGAGCUAUGGAGCCCUCUGUUCUUACAGGUUGCCUCUCUCUGGUAAGACUUCUGGGCCAUUGUUCUGGAGCUGAGGGCAGAGAAAAGGCCCUGCUUCUCUUGGAGCAACAUCCUGCUCUGUCAGUGGGGCAUCAGAGAACAGUGGCUCUGGUUUUCUUGAUUUGCUUCUCUUCCUGUCUCAGAACCUUGACCUCAUGAACGAAGGUUCUGGUAUUCUAUGCCAGCCUGGGAUAGAAUCUCUGCAACCUGAAGCUUGGGAUGACCAAUGAGAAAUUUUGACAGCUUACUCCUCCAAGGAAGAAACUAUAGCCCUAGACUGAGAGAUGGGGCAGUGGAAGCCCUUCUUGGCCAUACUCAUUUGGAGUAGAGCUUCUAUCACAUUGAGCUAUGAGGGGAGGGAUGGCCUAUGGCUCAAAUGCCACAGAAUCCUUCUUAUAGAGAGUUACUACAUUCCCUUAAAUAAAUAUUUUCCCACACACUAUAUGCCCUUAGGACAAUUUCCAGAAACUUUAGACUAUUGUUUUUCACAUUUUUCAUGAGUUGUAUGGUUG
rnacentral:lncRNA from 1 species